rnacentral:rRNA from 1 species
UACGUAGGGUGCGAGCGUUGUCCGGAAUUAUUGGGCGUAAAGAGCUUGUAGGCGGUUUGUCGCGUCUGCCGUGAAAAUCCGAGGCUCAACCUCGGACUUGCGGUGGGUACGGGCAGACUAGAGUGAUGUAGGGGAGACUGGAAUUCCUGGUGUAGCGGUGAAAUGCGCAGAUAUCAGGAGGAACACCGAUGGCGAAGGCAGGUCUCUGGGCAUUAACUGACGCUGAGGAGCGAAAGCAUGGGGAGCGAACAGG